rnacentral:lncRNA from 1 species
UUUUCUUCCUUGAUCAUUAUUAAUGAAUUUUGAAGAUGUAUCAUCGAGAUUUUCAUAGGGAAUUAGGAAUAGGAAAUUGCAUGUCAUUUCUGUUUUCCUUUCUUGUUUCUGUGAGAGAGCUUCUUUAUGUAAGGGUUAAAAAUCUUGUUUUAUGUUUACAGUAGCAUUUGCUUGUACACCUGAAGCUGUAAAGAACCCA